GUGCGGGCUCCUCGUGGCUAUCUCCGGAGAGAUGUAAUUGGGAGUUCCACACAUGGUGUAAUGCUUCUCGUGAGGCAUCUUCAGCUGAGUCGCCAACCCAAAGUCAGCAAUCUUGACGUUCAUGUUGCUGAAUUCUACAGUCAUUGCAUCCUGGUGGAGAACACAAGGAUUCCUGUUACACUGCUAGCACAUAGAAAAAUUCCUGGAGGAAAGCCACAGGUUGCUGCUCUGCAUCUGCUCAGAGAAUCAACUGUGCCCAAAGCCAUCCAUUUCCCCCAGGAGUUCAAGGCACAGGAAAACUACCUGGAACUUGUAUGUUGCAGUAAGUCAUUAAUGAAAGAUGAAUUACUGAGAACUUGGGAAUUUGUGUUCAUCCUAACACAGAUAUGUGAUGGCAGCUGUGAAAGUAACUGCAGUUCCCCAGAGGCAAAGCAGUGCUGUGUUUGUGCUGCAGCAGCCUGGGCCACAGAAACCACAGUGGGCAGUGCUGUGUUUGUGCUGCAGCAGCCUGGGCCACAGAAACCACAGUGGGGCAGGUGAGGCACCAAAAAUGCCUUUAUCUUACCUGUGGCCUUUUGGACAAACUCCAGUUGUAUCAACCCACGACAUCAGACAAAGCUGCUUUUAAGAACACUGAUGCAAAAAUGAGGUCUUGGGUGGUCAUUUCUGGUUCAAGUAGCGGUUUAUAUAUUUAUUAUAAUUAUACACAACCUUGACAAUCUGUCUUGCCAUUCAAAAAUAAAUCCAAGUCUUGUCAAUUUGCACAUGAUCUGUCACUACUAAGGAUCCCCUUUACAUACAUGGUAAACAUUUUCCAUAUUUAAACACCGCUUUAAAUUCUGACACUCCCAUCUCCCCCCUCAUCCCCUGGAGUUAUGGGUAUCGACUAUGGAAAGAAACUUUUCCAACCACUGCAACAUUCAGGGACUACCAUCUUUUUUGAUCAACUUAAUUAAACUAUUUCAACACUUGGUAGAGGUGGCUGGUUGGUAUAGCUCUUAAUUGCAUUUUUGUUUAAAGUUAUUCUUGAUGGAUUUCAUUGCAAUGAUUCCUGGUUUUCACUGCUUGACGCAUUUCCUUCUGACCAGGAAAGGAAACCAAAGUUUAGCAGCUGUAUCAAGUAAGUCACAUCAAGCACAUUGCUGGCUUAGUAUUCUGCAGUGCCAACAGUCACAUUUAGUUGUUUUCAUUGUUAUUUACAUGUGUAGUAAGUGGUUGAAGUCUUCAAAUUUCAACUGCAGAAAAUUAAGAAUUCAGCUAGGAGUCAGCCACCACACACUUUCUGUAGCUACUAAGAUCUUGUGUUCAUACUCCAACUGCUAUCUUGGGAGCUGAAAUUAUAAUUUAUGAGGCAUUAACGCCUUUUGUUAAGCAACAUGUUUUUUACACCUCUUUUGAGAGUUUCUGUCUCCUGGUGCCUGAAAGAUGAGAAAACCUAAGAGUAGCAGAAGUGUAAGAGGCAAAAGAAUAUUCCUCCAUCCAGUUAAUAAACUCACAGCUAGUGGCAAUUAAUAUAAUAAUCCUCAGAGCAGGCAGACCUUCUACCAGCCCACAACUCAAGUUUGGGCAUCUGAGCUUCACUUGAAAAGGGCUCCCAGAAAUGUGGAAGUAUUACAGUGUGAUUACACAGCAAUGAGAAGUCCUAUUUUGAGGAAUGAGGUUCAUGAUAGCACUCAUCUACAGGAAUUGAAUUUAGCUUCUUUUCCUACAACAGCCGGGCAGGUGCUUUGAACCAGCAAACGCAGCGUGUUGGCAACACAGCUUUGUGUUUUGGAUUUUAACUGACAGGCACGGAAAACCAGAGCUCUGACAAGUGUAAAUUCCAAGUUUUGUUAAGGCUGUUAAUUUUUCACACUGGUGUCAAAAAAUAAUUGGGAAGAAAACCCUUCUGCCAGCUCCUUGCUUGUUUCCUGAAGUUACAUUUAAACAAUCCUUACAGGAAAACCCUCAAUUAAAUAUGGAAUAUUUGAGAACUGUUAUUAGCAAUCUGUAGGAGAGAUUGGAGUUCAGCACACAGAGAUGUUGCAAAAUAUUAAGGAAUUUCAAAUGUUGAAGAUACAAAGAGAUCUCAUCAACACACAGAUUGGAUGCUUUACCUUAACAGCUUCCACUUGUAGGUGGAAGAAGCAAAGCCUCCAUCCCUCACACCACAAGGUGUCCAGAACGCUGGAGCUGCACCACAGACACUGCACUGCCCCCACUGUGCUGCGUGCCAGAGACAGGGCACCUUCCCCUCGCUCUGCCCCGGGGCCUUGGCAGGGAAUACAGGUUGUGGGAUACAGGCUGGGUGUUUCCCAACUGCCUCUGAGCAUUCAGGAUCAGCUGCUCACUGCUCUGCAAGCCUGCCCCAAAGGCAGCACUUACGCAGUGCAAGGACACUGCCAGAAGCCAGCAAGGGAGAGGCGUCUUCGUUCCAAUUGAGACAUACAAAAUCAAAUCCCUCAUUCAAAAUCAAGGGGUAUUUUGUCAUGAAGCAGCAGCUUCAAGAAAGAAGAGCGUAAAAUCCUAACUUGAGUGUUACAAAUCUGUUUAUGUUACAUUUGAAGUUCAAAGAAACUCCUUGGAGUCUAAAGUACCAUAAUAAAAAAGUGGAAAGGAACCCAUGAAUCAGUUCUAAACUAAACUCAGUUUAGUAAAGAAAAUUAAAAUAAAUUAAUUUUUAAGUCCUUUCUUGAACAAGUCCAUUAAUGCUCCAGACAGGAGAGAAUGAGUCCUCUUUAAAGGGAAGAAGGAAGAUCUUGCUGGUUUGUAACUAGAUCUUUACAUCAAACUUCAGAACCUGAAUUACAAAACUUUUUUUAAAUGAUCUGUACUGCCUUCACAAAUAUUGUGUUGCUUCCUUUUUUUCUUUUUGUGGGACAGAGGGAAAUAUUUUCAAAUAAGCAGAAAGUUUCAAGUAAGAUAUUAUCAACAAAUACCUGCUGUUGUAAUAUACAAGAUGCACAGCAGCAGACUUCUGCCAGUUCCCUACCAAAACUUUAUGUUGCAAAGACACUCACUCUGGUGCUGUCAGGAUAGGCAGAGGGAACUUGCUCAUUGAGUCUGACACACAAAACCUCAAGCUGAGCAUAGUGUUUAAGUACUUAAAUCUGUCCUGGUGAAAUCUCCUCUUUGUAACAGGAAACAGAUUACAUAUGAGCAAAUCAUUUAUUAAAGUGAACCUCACUGUGGAAAGAUCAACUCUGCCAUGCCAAAUGGCAUUCCUAACACGGACCUCAGAGCCAGCUUCUGUGGGCAGCAUUCCUCUUCAGCAGGGAUCUAGAGACAGACCAGAUGCACAGCAGAAAACCCCUUCUCUAGUAAGAAAACUUGACUACAACUGUUUGUCUGAACCAUGUCUGCUUUUAAGCGUGCAGAAUUAUUCUAGCCUUUAUCCUAAGCACUGCCUCAAACAUUUGUGAUGUGCUAUUAAGCAUCUGAUGGCUAUGAGCAGAGGACACUGUUCUUGCACGUGACCCUUUAGCUAUUGGAGAUUUCUGUAGUUUUGUGCUCUUCUGCCACAGCUACCAAGAAGUCUACCUAGAGAAAUUAUUGUGUAGCUGGAUUUCAGGAAGCCAGUAGUUGAGAAUGCUGCUCAUUACGCUGCCGUGCUAAAAGCCAUUGGGAUAUAAAUGGUGUUGAAGCCUACAAGACCCAAGCCAGCCCAGCCUGACGCUGCAGUAGAGUCCCCCUCAGCACCAGAGGUGUGACUACCAUGGCAGAACUCGAGACUGAGGUUGCAGAGGAGCUGCUGAACAGUUCUCCUCAAAGUCACUCAGUUUUUGUUCAAGGGCAUUAAACAUGUGAACUUACAGUGUCAGACCAUCCACACUGACUGCAUGGAAGAGGAACAAGAACAAAGUACAUGCAUCUCAGUCACUUGAUGGCAGUCAUGAAGACAGAAUUCCAGCACUUGAACUAGACUGGCAGAUAGAUUUAUGUACAAUCAUGAAUGUUGCUUCCUUGUUCUGUCAAGGUAUAGGAGAGUUGAAUUCACCUCUCCCAGAGGUCAUGAGUUACUUUUUGUAGCAUGAACAGUGGUAGAAGAUGAAGGGCACAGCUGCAGAUAAAAUGGCUGCCAAAGCCAGAAACAGGACUGUGGUUCUUCACUUCUUUACAACAGCAACAUACCCUAUAGGAGAACUGCUGUAGGAGUGCCUGGUUAAUAUCUAAAUUUGUUUCUGGGACAGAGUUCAAGUCACUGAAGCAUUACACUGCAACUUAUUUUCUUAUGCUAGGUAAAGAAACCACUUUUAAUAGUUAGACUAGUCCAUUCCCACUCUGGUAACAAUAGUUUUGAAGUCAAUAGUGACUGGCUUUAGCAAGUGCUGCAGCACCUCAGUGACUGACAGAAGCAUUUGGAAAGUAUUUGGGACAUAGACUGGACCUUGACAACGUUUAAGACAUAUCAAAGGAAACAGUGAUUCUACUGUGUAAUACAUUGUAGAAACUUUCAUUAAAGAGCUAAAUGACCAAACCAAGUGGUAAGCUAUGCAAGUUCAACAGAUAGAUUCCACCUUUGGGGUAAUAAUGUCCAGUUUUUAAGCUCUUUUGUUUUGGUCCUUGACCAAAAUAUUUAUGUGCGGAGUAUCAAGGCUUAAAUAAGCUCUCAGCAUUUCUUUCAAGUUUGGACCAAACAGCAUUUAAGCCACCUCAAAAUCAGGGUGAUGAUACCCAGUUUGCACAGCACUGUUUCUGUUGUUCCUCCUCCCCAGGAUGAGAUACGAUCAGAUGUAAACUGAAUUCAAAACAAAAGAAGUGUUAAUAGUUCCAUGUGCAAUAAGACAUUUUCAAGGGAAAGCUACGCAGCAGGCCUUGAAUGUUCUCCCCUCUCAUCCUGUCCACACCAGCAUCACCCUGUCCUAAGCACAGCAGGGUAUGUACAGCAAUGUGCAGAGACCAGGGAUUCCAGCACACAGCAGAGCCACGGUGCUGGAGCAGUUUGCAAUGAAGACUGGUAGUGGUAUGGGAAUCCAAAAAAUGCUUAAGCUCGGAUUAUUCAGUUCCUAUGAAAAAGACCGUACAAUUCUCAUGGUACAUCAACAAGAUGGACUGGUAUGCCAACUAACCUCUAUUUUAAUAUUUAAAUUAUAACAAUACAAUAACUAGAAAAGGUCAGUGCUUCAAGUGACAGGUUUUGCCACUUCAAUUCCAAUAUUUUUCCAAAAUAAAGAUGCGAUUAGAUCUACACUUGAGCAUCAGUAGUGCAAUACAGUAUCCUUUCCUGAAUAAAGGAGCUGAGGUUUAUCCACAAUAAAAGCUUUAAAUAAGGUAGAUUGUUGCCAUUUAUAUAUCAAUUCUGUAUGUUUGAUAUAAAAUAUAUUGGGAAAGCUUCAACUGACUUAUACAAUCUACAUUUGGCUAAAGCUCCACAUAAGCAGCAUCAGUGGAAAUGAACAUCAGAGGUGUACUUAAUAUAAAACACUUUCAAAACUACUCAGCAACAAAUGACAGAAGUUUGGCUAAGAAUAA